GGCGAGUGAAGCGGGAAGAGCUCAAAUUUGUAAUCUGGCGUCCUUCGGGCGUCCGAGUUGUAAUCUAUAGAAGUGUUUUCCGUGCCGGACCAUGUCCAAGUCCCUUGGAACAGGGUAUCAAAGAGGGUGACAAUCCCGUACUUGACAUGACCACCGGUGCUCUGUGAUACACUUUCUACGAGUCGAGUUGUUUGGGAAUGCAGCUCAAAAUGGGUGGUAAAUUCCAUCUAAAGCUAAAUAUUGGCGAGAGACCGAUAGCGAACAAGUACCGUGAGGGAAAGAUGAAAAGCACUUUGGAAAGAGAGUUAAACAGUACGUGAAAUUGUUGAAAGGGAAACGAUUGAAGUCAGUCGUGUUCUUUGGACUCAGCCGGUUCUUCCGGUCUAUUUCCUUUGAACGGGUCAACAUCAGUUUUGUCCGGUGGAUAAAGGCAGGAAGAAAGUGGCUCCCUCGGGAGUGUUAUAGCUUUCUGUCACAUACACUGGAGGAGACUGAGGACUGCAGCUCGCCUUUUGGCCGGGGUUCGCCCACGUUCGAGCUUAGGAUGUUGACAUAAUGGCUUUAAACGAC
rnacentral:rRNA from 1 species